rnacentral:rRNA from 1 species
GAUGAACGCUGGCGGCGUGCCUAAUACAUGCAAGUCGAGCGAACGGACGAGAAGCUUGCUUCUCUGAUGUUAGCGGCGGACGGGUGAGUAACACGUGGAUAACCUACCUAUAAGACUGGGAUAACUUCGGGAAACCGGAGCUAAUACCGGAUAUAUUUUGAACCGCCUGGUUCAAAAGUGAAAGACGGGCUUGCUGUCACUUAUAGAUGGAUCCGCGCUGCAUUAGCUAGUUGGUAAGGUAACGGCUUACCAAGGCAACGAUGCAUAGCCGACCUGAGAGGGUGAUCGGCCACACUGGAACUGAGACACGGUCCAGACUCCUACGGGAGGCAGCAGUAGGGAAUCUUCCGCAAUGGGCGAAAGCCUGACGGAGCAACGCCGCGUGAGUGAUGAAGGUCUUCGGAUCGUAAAACUCUGUUAUUAGGGAAGAACAUAUGUGUAAGUAACUGUGCACAUCUUGACGGUACCUAAUCAGAAAGCCACGGCUAACUACGUG